AUUAUUGCGCAUUGGGGAGCUAUUUUUGACCUUUCGCUAUCUGGAUCUAGGGUUUUCUUUUCUUGACGACUCGUUCUUCAUCAUCAUCAUCAUCGAAACCAAAAACCACCACCACCACCACCACCACCACCAAACCCUAGUACUGAAAUUCAGUGAAACAGAAAAAAAGAAAAAGAAAAAGACAAACACUGAGAAGCUUGAUUUUACCAGCGAUCUGAUCGCUGAAGAAGUUGUAGUGUGUUUGGAUCAUCUAUCAGGGAUCUAAAAUUGUGGUUUUUUUAUUUUUUAUUUUUUUUAGGAAAGAGAAGACCCUAAAUUGGUUUUUUAUAUUUUGGUUUUUCUUUCAUGGAUCAGCGAUUUUAAAAAAGCAAAAAAAAAAAAAAAAAUCUGGGAUGAAAUUUAAAGCAUCUUUGACGAUGAUGAGGAUGAUUUCUUAAGAAACUUGUACCCAAAAAAAAAAAAUUAAAAUUCCAUGAGUUGUUUGAUUUUUUGGGGUGUUUAAUGACUUAUGAUGCGGAAAUUUGAUGAGAAAACGGCUUUGAGGAGGAGGAGGAGAAGGGAAGAGGGGGUGUUUGGCUGGUGAGAAAGAAAGAAGAAGAGAAAAUGUAUAAAUCGGUGGUGUAUAAAGGGGAGGAGUUUCUUGGUGAGGUAGAGAUUUUCCCGGGAGAGAACGACAACAAGAAGAUUAUCGAUGAUGGGAAGGAAAUCAGAAUAAGUCAUUUUUCACAAGCGAGUGAGAGAUGCCCUCCACUGGCAGUGCUUCAUACCAUUACCUCUUGUGGUGUUUGCUUCAAAAUGGAGUCCAAGACCUCGCAGUCACAGGACACGCCGCUCUUUCUUUUGCACUCCUCGUGUAUCAAGGAGAACAAGACCGCAGUGAUGCUGCUUGGAGGAGAGGAACUCCAUUUAGUUGCCAUGUAUUCUAGGAAUAGUGAUAAACAAUAUCCAUGUUUUUGGGGAUUCAUUGUCGCAUCUGGGCUUUACAAUUCUUGUCUUGGCCUGCUGAACCUUAGAUGUCUUGGUAUUGUGUUUGAUCUUGAUGAAACGCUCAUAGUUGCUAAUACAAUGCGCUCAUUUGAGGAUAGAAUUGAGGCUCUACAGCGGAAAAUAAGUAGUGAGGCAGAUCCACAACGUAUUUCUGGUAUGCUGGCAGAGGUCAAGCGCUAUCAAGAUGACAAGAAUAUAUUGAAGCAAUAUGCUGACAGUGACCAGGUUGUAGAAAAUGGGAGGGUGAUCAAAAUUCAAUCUGAAGUAGUUCCUGCCCUGUCUGACACUUAUACAACUCUUGUUCGGCCUCUUAUACGGUUAAAUGAAAAAAACAUCAUCCUGACUCGCAUUAAUCCACAGAUUCGUGAUACAAGUGUUCUUGUGAGGUUGAGACCUGCAUGGGAAGAUCUUAGGAGUUAUUUGACGGCACGGGGGCGUAAGCGCUUUGAGGUCUACGUUUGCACAAUGGCUGAAAGGGAUUAUGCUUUAGAAAUGUGGAGGCUUCUUGAUCCAGAUUCAAAUUUGAUUAAUUCCAAAGAAUUAUUGGAUCGCAUUGUGUGCGUCAAGUCUGGUUUAAGAAAGUCCUUGUUCAAUGUCUUCCAAGGUGGGUUGUGCCACCCAAAGAUGGCAUUGGUAAUUGAUGAUCGCCUGAAAGUGUGGGAUGAGAAAGAUCAACCUCGGGUGCAUGUUGUUCCUGCAUUUGCUCCAUACUAUGCUCCUCAAGCUGAAGCAAAUAAUGCUGUCCCUGUCUUGUGUGUUGCGAGAAAUGUUGCUUGCAAUGUCAGAGGUGGUUUUUUCAAAGAUUUUGAUGAUGGUCUCCUUCAAAAGAUUACUGAUAUUUCAUACGAAGAUGAUGUUAAAGAGAUUCCCUCUCCUCCUGAUGUGAGCAAUUAUCUGGUUUCAGAGGAUGAUGGUUCUACUUCAAAUGGAAACAGAGAUCCGCUUCCUUUUGAUGGAAUGGCUGAUGUUGAAGUUGAAAGGAGACUAAAGGAAGCAAUAUCAGCUGCUUCAACAGUCGCUUCAUCAGUCACUAACAUUGAUCCAAGACUGGCUCCUCCUCUUCAGACUACAAUAGGAUCUUCUUCUGGAAGUCUUCCCCUGCCAACAACUCAAGUGUCGGUGAUGAAUUUUCCCAAUGUACAAUUUCCUCAGGCUGCUUCAGCAGUUAAACCAUUGGGUCAUGUUGGCAAUAUGGACUCAAACCUGCAAAAUUCUCCUGCUAGAGAAGAAGGCGAGGUUCCAGAAUCUGAAUUAGAUCCUGAUACAAGGCGGAGACUUCUCAUUUUGCAACAUGGGCAAGAUACUAGGGAUCUUACAUCAAGUGAACCUCCAUUUCCUGUUAGACCAUCGGUACAAGUCUCUGUUCCAAGGGUACAAUCACGUGGGGGCUGGUUUCUAGCAGAGGAAGAGAUGAGCCCUCGGCAAGUGAGCCGGGUGGUACCAAAAGAAUUUCCUUUAGAUUCAGAACCACUGCAUGUUGAGAAGCAUCGGCCUCAUCAUCCAUCUUUUUUCCCUAAGGUUGAAAGUCCAAUUCCUUCGGAUAGAAUUCUCCAUGAAAAUCAAAGAUUGCCAAAAGAGGCCUUUCAGAGAGAGAGAUCAAACAACUCAUUGCCUGGUUAUCAUUCUUUCUCAGGUGAGGAGAUUCCCUUGAGUAGAUCAUCUUCAAGCAACAAGGAAGUUGACUUCGAAUCCAGCCGAGCUGUAUCAAUUGCAGAAACUCCAGCUGGUGCUCUACAUGAAAUUGCAAUGAAGUGUGGAACCAAGGUGGAGUUCAGGCCAGCUUUGGUUUCCAGUACAGAACUGCAGUUUGCUGUUGAGGCUUGGUUUGCAGGAGAGAAAAUUGGUGAAGGAACUGGUAGGACAAGACGUGAAGCUCAAUGCCAGGCAGCUGAGGGCUCUCUUAAGAACUUGGCCAAUAUAUAUGUAUCGCGUGUCAAACCUGAUUCUGGUUCUCUGCUUUUGGAUGGCUCUAAGUUUCCUGAUAUGAGUGAAAAUGGCUUUCUGAGUCAUGCAAAUUCCUUUGGGAGUCGGGGGACUCCCAAAGAGGAGUCGCAGUUAUUUUCAGCUGCCUCAGAACCAUCUAGGCUUCUGGAUCCUAGACUCGACAGCUCUAAAAAAUCUAUGAGUUCAGUCUCUGCACUUAAAGAAUAUUGCAUGAUGGAGGGCCUUGGUCUAGUUUUUCAACAUCAACCUCUGCCUUCAGCUAAUUCCAUUCAGAAAGAUGAAGUUCAUGUACAGGUAGAAAUAGAUGGACAGGUCUUAGGGAAGGGGAUUGGGUUAACAUGGGAUGAGGCUAAGAUGCAGGCUGCUGAAAAGGCCCUUGGAAGUCUACGAACAUCGUAUGGUCAGAAACGUCAAGGUUCUCCAAGGUCAUUGCAAGGAUUUUCAAAUAAACGUCUGAAGCAGGAGUUUCCACGAGUUCUACAGCGAAUGCCCUCUUCUACUAGAUACCCAAAAAAUGCACCUCCUGUUCCCUGAAAGCCCUUAGUAUCUUUCAUUCCACUUGUAUAGCUAUUGUUGGGAAAUUUGUGCAGUACAUUUGUCAUAGGAAAAAGCAAGGGCCGCCCAGUGUCCAGAACCACGGGAAGGCUGUUGUCCAUGGAAUUUUCUCACAGAAUCUAGUCUGAAGCCAGUGGAUCAUGGUGUCUUUCAUGGGUACAUUUUGCAAGUUCUCUGGAAAGAGGGUUGAGAUUCUGCCCAAAGUGACUGCAGUCCUGGGGUGUUCAUGCAUCUGGAUUCUGCUCACUGUUGUAGAAACGUCAUCAUGAAGUUUAACACAAGAUAAGAAGGCAAAAAUCUCAUGCAGCUCGGCUAUGAAUUCUGUGUUUGAUGUUCUUGGGUUGGCAAGGUUUUUGAAAGAGCUUUAGAUGGGUCCUAUUUGUUCACCAUGUUUCGAUAUUAAUUUUGCGGAAGUAAAUUAAAUAGGGAGCUUGGGGGCAGCUUCUUGCAAUGCUUGAGGAACUCACAAUGCCACUAACCAUUGACAGUUAGAUUGUAGCACAACUGACGGUUUUUCUUCUUCACAGCCCUUCUUGAAGAUACUGAAAAUGUUAAUUUCAGGUCCUGGGAUUGGUGGAAACUGCAAAAUGAUGCUUUCAGACCUUGAAUGGAGGUAUACUAUCAAGGGGGUUGUCUUCUGGCGAUCUUUGAAGUACUCCCAAUUUUUGGCCAUAAAAGAAACUGCAAAUUCAUCUGGUAUUGUAUUUUUACUCGAGGUAAAGAAGUCAUAUUUUGUUGCUUCGUCUUGUCCUUUUGCAGCUCUUCUAGUAUGUAUGUAGCAAUUCUAAGGUGUGCACUACCAUUAGACAUUAACUUGCGGAUGCAAAGUUUAAAGUGCGAAAAAAAAUAAAAUAAAAUAAAAUAAAAAAUAGAAAAGAAAGUUUACAAUCUUUACCUGCUUGACUGCAAAAAUUUAAAAGAAAAAACUUACUUUUUAUGUUACUUUAACAACUGAACCAAAAAAGAAAAAGAAUUUACACAAGUAGUCCAACCGUGCUUGCCUUGUUUAUUUCUCAUAUUUUUGCAGAAUUUUAUAAUUUAUGUGGCAAGAAAACGCAGAUCUUGCAUGUCUUGCGUUGUUGAAGUAGAGGAGGGGAGAUGAAAAAAUAUAGUGAGAAGGGGAUGCCAGGGGGCAUAGCCAAAAAAAAAAAGAAAAAAAAGAAAAAGAAAAAGAAAGCCAAAGAUUGAGCCUCUUCAUUUUAAAUAGAUUUUGCUUGUGUUUUCUUCGGUGCUUAUCCUACUAUUAUUAUUAUUAUUAUUAUUCUUUUUUUAUUUUUUUAUAAUUUUAUAAUUUUAUUUUUACUUGAAUUCUCAGCUUGUUUUGAACACAUGUUUGAUUGAAUUUAUUUAUUUUUUAACAUGUUUUGGUCUAAUAUAUUGAAUUGACAAUUAACGGUUGAGAUUCAUAAUCAAGCAUAGCAAACUACAGGGAAGAUUCUAAUUCUUUCAACGCUAAAAGUAUAUAUUAAUAUAUGUCUAAUUUGAAUUUAAUUGUUUUUUUAUUUUUUUAUUGUAAGUGUUAUAUUAUUUAUUGGAUUGAUAAUUAAUGGUUGAGAUUGAAAAUUAAUAUAUAUAUAUAUAUACUGUUGAAUGUGUUGCUUUAAUUAAUGAUUUAAUAUUGAAAUCCUAAUUGAGCAAGUGAUCAUUUUUAACAUUUUUCACAUUUUAGAGUCUCCAAUAUAAGAUGAGCAGAGUUAUAUAUAUAUAUAUAUAUAUGCAUUGUAAUAAGAAAUAUAUGGGUCUUAAUUGUACUUACUGUUGGAGAGUAUAAGAUAUAUAUAUAUUUUUUAAAGUGAUGAAAGUGUAUUGUUAUUAUCGGAGUUAAUUUCAUCUGCAUCCUUCAAAUUUUUUGUAACUUAUUGUAAAUCUGUUACUAUUUAUUCUAAAUGACCAUUGGAAUUACUUUUAUAUCCUUAAAAGUUGAAUUUAAAAAUAACUUAAAAUUGCAAUAAAAUUUGAUCACGUUUAUUUAUUUUGAUAAGCUUUUAUUUGUUUUUUCCUCCGACUCUACAUUCCUCGCUUCCUCGUCGCUUCCUUCUGGCGACUAGCUUCUCCAGUGGGUGGCUUGCUUGCCCUAACCUGUCGAUGGGGUUUUGCUUUUUGGGCAUGGUUGAUUUGGAGAUUGGCUUAAUUCUGGGCUACAUGUUGAAGAACCGUUGUUCAACCAAGGCCCAAUUCAAAUUUGUAGGCUUGAUCCAGUAGUAGAAUUCAUUUCCAAGAACUGAGGUCCAACCCUGUGAUAUGCAAUGCCAGGCAUCGCACGUCGCCGGAGAAAAAGGAGUAAAGCAUCCAGUUUUGUCAGUUUGUAAUGCUAAGAAAAUGGUAAUUUUUCUUUUUUUUUAGGGAAGAAAAUGAUAAUUCUUUAAAGAGAUUUACAGUGGAAUUUAGGCUAAAUCGGAGUAUUUUUAUUGAUGGUUUGCUGUUGAACCACUUAAUUUUGUAUGCUUAUGAUUGGUUCUUUACUCCUGCAUCAGGGUAUGCAUUUUUGUUCUUUAUUUAUUUAUUUAUUUUUGUUAAUAUUA